ACCUCUCCCUGCCUUCCUCCUUCCACACAGACCAGCGCACCCGGGCUCGCUCAGCUAUGCAAGAGCGGCGCCCUCCCAGAGGUCAAGUUCCCCCUCCACCAGGCAGUAGGGACAGCCUGGCCUGGAGCGUGGCUGUUCUGCCUGGGGGACCCUGCGGAUAUUUUCCAUGCAGCCUGCCCCACUGUGGUCCCCCUAGACCUAGUCUCCUUGCCAAGCUUCCUUCUCGCACCCCCAGCCCGCCCCCUCGUCUCAUCUAACUCAGUCAUCUCUCCCUGUCUGUCCCCUGAAGCCCUGAGCUAGCCACUUCCUCCCCCACAACUACACCCAGGCGCGCAUCCCUCCCUGUCGCUAACUCCGGCUGGACUUGCCACAACUUUUGCUUUUAUAGCCCUCAGCCGCGUCACCGGGGUCAUUGCUCAACGGGACGAUUCCUCCACGGCCACCGGCAAAAAAGUCCCUCCCCGACCCUGCCCGGAGAGACUCCCGGGCGGUGCAUGGUCUCCCAGGCGGCCCCCACGCAAGGACCCCAGUGUAUCCCCGCUUCUCUUUAACAGUGCUUUUUGGGAUCGCGGACAGCGCUCAAGGUGACAUUUGGGAGGCGAAUGCCAUGAGGAAGAAGACCCCUUUUCUUCCCGGAUGUUGUUGAGGCAUCCCCAGCCUGGCUCUUCUGGAAGCAAACCUGGUGAACUCCUGAGCCCUCCAGCAAGGCGGGCAGGGCCCGAAUGUCUGGAGAGGACUUUGGACCGUGUAGCGGGCACCUCCCUUGCUAGGGGGUGCAGGGUGAUGAGGAAGCUCUGGCCCCUGAGGUAGAGGAUGAAAAAGGACCCCGGUUCAAGUAACCAGAAUGGAAAAUGGCAUCUGACAGGAACUCCUGCCAGGAACCUCUCCCUGGUUAACACCCACACCCCAUACAAAACAACCCCUUGAAAGCAGGCCCCCUUGGCAACCGAGAAGAAGCUGGUGAAGACAUUUCGCCUGCGUCUGUGAGGUGGUAUCAGCAGGCAGGGCUGGGCCUGACAUGCACCCCUCCCUGUGCUUCUCGGAAAACUGGUGACUGUGUGUCAUCUGACCUUCAGCACAGAAGGUGGUGAUGUGGCAAGCCCAGGCUUGCUCCCUGGCGCCUGCUUAGCCCUGUUUCUCUGCCAGGGGAAGAUUCCGGCAGUGCGGCCUCCUCCAGGAUCUGCCCCAUCAGUCUCUUCCUGACUGUAUCUCCAGGGGUGGGUUGGGGUGGGGUGAUUUGGCCUGAAAGAACCGUGUGGAAAGAGGGAAUUGUCUGUCAAAAUGUUCUAGAAAGCUGGGCAGCUUAUGAAACCAAUGGAGGAGUCUUCACUGCUGCUUCACAGUACUGGGCAGUGGAGUCAGCCAGACCUUUCUUUAUCUCACCAGGCAUCUGAGAGGUCUCGAAAUCUCUCUAAUUCACACACAUCAUUCCCAAAUCCCAGAAACAAACUAUGGUAGAUUUUAUUUUUCAAAAAAGAGUGGGAUCCAUUCGCUUUUGAAGGCCAUGGUGGGAGGAUUGCCUAGAGGCCAGGAGUUCGAGACCAGCCUGGGAAACACAGCAAGACCCUGUCUCUACAAAAAAUGAAAGAAAAAAAAAAAAAAAAGCCAGGUGCACAUGACUGCCUGUAGUCUCAGCUACUGGGGAGACUGAGGCAGCAGGAUCCCUUGAGCCUAGGAUUUUGAGGCUGCAGUGAGCUAUGAUUGUGCCACUGCACUCCAGGCUGGCCAACAAGAGUGAGACCCUUUCUAAUACAUAUAUAUAUAUAGAUUUUUUUUUAAGUAGGGACAAUUACUGACAUACAAAACAUAGGAUUCUGUAAAGCAUAGGCUUCCCUGUCACAAAGGGAACCAAGUCUCCUUUGUGCCCUUGUAUCUGGAGCUGCCUUUGCCACCCUGGGUUUUCAAGGACAAAAGGGCACUGUUUCAGAGGGUCCUUAUGUAGAAGCUUUGCUGGCCUCCAAGUUCCACACAGCUCGUUUUUCUCGGGAAAGGAAUGUAUUUAAGGAGAGAUGAGCUGAGGGUAGACAACCACAUGGAUAUCUCUGUCCUGCCUUAAGGGGCCAAAGCUGUGCCCACAGUAAGGAGGGUACACAUUGGGCCUGGGUUCUGCUCUCUUCCUCUACAAAUAAGUCUAAAAAUACCUCUGCCCAGCUGGAGGGUGAGAGCAGGAAGGCCGGUGUCAGCAGAUUUCUCUAGAUCAAAACAAGUUGUUCCAGAAAACAGCAGCAAACAGAGGCCCUUGGAUUCCGGGGUGGAGCUGGGUGGUGAAGGGCCCGCCCUGCCUGUGUGGGUGGCCAACUCCUGCUUCUUCCCAGGCAGACAGAGGAACAGGAGGGGGCUGCUUUGGCAACAUCUGGAUUCCAGGGUUAGGGCCCUGUCUCCAAGCCCUUUCUUUCUUUUCUUUUUUUUUUUGAUGGAGUCUCACUCUGUUGCCCAGGCUGGAGUGCAGUGGUGUGAUCUCUGCUCACUGCACCCUCCCUCCUGGGUUCAAGUGAUUUUCCUGCCUCAGCCUCCCGAGUAGCUGGGACUAUAGGCUUACACCACCACAUUGGCUAAUUUUUUUUUUUUUUUUUUGUAUUUUUAGUAGAGACAGGGUUUUACCACAUUGGCCAGGCUGGUCUCCAACUCCUGACCUCAAGUGAUCCACCUGCCUUGACCUCCCAAAGUGCUGCGAUUACAGGGGUAGCCACCGCGCCUGGCCCCUGUCUCCAAGCCCUUUCUUGCGGCUAUUGCCAAUCAGGGUCACUGGUCUCCCGGGUGCCUGGAGCCCCACAUCUUGUUCUGAAGCCAGGUCAGCUCUGUGGUUUCCAAACAUAUAGACAGACCAGUCCCAGGAAGUACCCGGGAUUUCCCACAGGAGCCCCUGGAAAAGGGGAGCAGAAGCCGG
rnacentral:lncRNA from 1 species